rnacentral:rRNA from 1 species
GACGAACGCUGGCGGCGUGCUUAACACAUGCAAGUCGAACGGAAAGGCCCUGCGUUUGUGGCGUGCUCGAGUGGCGAACGGGUGAGUGACACGUGAGUAUCCUGCCCUUGUCUUUCGGAUAACUUCACGAAACUGGGGCUAAUAUAGGAUAGGAUCUCCUGCUGCAUGGUGGGCGUUGGAAAGUUUCGGCGGUUGGGGAUGGACUCGCGGGUUACGAGCUUGUUGGUGGGGUAGUUGCUUACCAAGGCUUUGACGGGUAGCCGGCCUGAGAGGGUGACCGGCCACAUGGGGACUGAGAUACGGACCAGAAGGGUACGGGAGGCAGCAGUGGGAAGUAUGGCACAAUGGGCGGAAGUGUGAGGCAGCGACGCCGCGUGCGGGAUGACGGCUUUCGGGGUGUAAACAGCUUUCGCCUGAGACGAAGCGUGAGUGACGGUAAUGGGUAAAGAAGCACCGGCUAACUACGUG